rnacentral:rRNA from 1 species
UAGCAUAUCAAUAAGCGGAGGAAAAGAAACCAACAGGGAUUGCCUUAGUAACGGCGAGUGAAGCGGCAAAAGCUCAAAUUUGAAAUCUAGCACUUUCAGUGUUCGAGUUGUAAUUUGAAGAAGGUAACUUUGGAAUUGGCUCUUGUCUAUGUUCCUUGGAACAGGACGUCACAGAGGGUGAGAAUCCCGUGCGAUGAGAUGUCCAAUUCUAUGUAAAGUGCUUUCGAAGAGUCGAGUUGUUUGGGAAUGCAGCUCUAAGUGGGUGGUAAAUUCCAUCUAAAGCUAAAUAUUGGCGAGAGACCGAUAGCGAACAAGUACAGUGAUGGAAAGAUGAAAAGAACUUUGAAAAGAGAGUGAAAAAGUACGUGAAAUUGUUGAAAGGGAAGGGCUUGAGAUCAGACUUGGUAUUUUGUGUUCCUUAUUCUUUUUGGAUUUGGUUCCUCACAGCUUACCGGGCCAGCAUCGGUUUGGAUGGUAGGAUAAUGACAUUGGAAUGUAGCUUUGCUUCGGUGAAGUGUUAUAGACUUUGUUGAUACUGCCUAUCUAGACCGAGGACUGCGUCUUUGACUAGGAUGCUGGCGUAAUGAUCUUAAGCCGCCCGUCUUGAAACACGGACCAAGGAGUCUAACGUCUAUGCGAGUGUUUGGGUGUAAAACCCGUACGCGUAAUGAAAGUGAACGUAGGUGAGAGCCUUUUAGGUGCAUCAUCGACCGAUCCUGAUGUCUUCGGAUGGAUUUGAGUAAGAGCAUAGCUGUUGGGACCCGAAAGAUGGUGAACUAUGCCUGAAUAGGGUGAAGCCAGAGGAAACUCUGGUGGAGGCUCGUAGCGGUUCUGACGUGCAAAUCGAUCGUCGAAUUUGGGUAUAGGGGCGAAAGACUAAUCGAACCAUCUAGUAGCUGGUUCCUGCCGA